rnacentral:rRNA from 1 species
UACGGAGGGGGCUAGCGUUGUUCGGAAUUACUGGGCGUAAAGCGCACGUAGGCGGCGCGGUAAGUCGGGUGUGAAAUCUUGGAGCUUAACUCCGAAACUGCAUUCGAUACUGCCGUGCUUGAGGACUGGAGAGGAGACUGGAAUUUACGGCGUAGCGGUGAAAUGCGUAGAUAUCGUAAGGAAGACCAGUGGCGAAGGCGGGUCUCUGGACAGUUCCUGACGCUGAGGCACGAAGGUCAGGGGAGCAAACGGG